AACGUAGGAGCCUAGCGUUAUCCGAAUUCACUGGGCGUAAGGCGCGUGCAGGCGGUUCGGUAAGUUGGAUGUGAAAUCUCCUGGCUCAACUGGGAGAGGACGUUCAAGACUGUCGGACUAGAGGACGGUAGAGGAAGGUAGAAUUCCCGGUGUAGUGGUGAAAUGCGUAGAUAUCGGGAGGAAUACCAGUGGCGAAGGCGGCCUUCUGGGCCGUUCCUGACGCUCAGACGCGAAAGCUAGGGGAGCAAGCGGG
rnacentral:rRNA from 1 species